rnacentral:lncRNA from 8 species
AAAUUGAAGUCAUUUCAGCUUCUGAGGAUAAAACGGACAUCAGAAUCAAAACAGUAUUGUGAAGAUGUCAAUUACCGAAGCCAGUGAAGCGGAGGAGAACUCCAAGAGAAACAGAAGGAGAAUUACAUUCAAAUAAUGUAUAACUGGCAAAGGUCUACACAAACCCCCACCAAAAUAUGCCCAGAAGCACCAGAAAACCUGUGCCACUGCUACCAAGAAGCAAAAAGCUAAAAUGCAGCAUCCGUCACAAUAGAAUCAUCUUGGUUUCUCAGAUGGCUUAA